AUAGGAUCGACACACAUCACCUUUUUGUCGAUUUUAAAGCUGCUUUCGACAGCACGAAAAGGAGUUGCCUUUAUGCCGCGAUGUCUGAAUUUGGUAUCCCUGCAAAACUAAUACGGCUGUGUAAGCUGACGUUCAGCAACACCAAAAGCUCCGUCAGGAUCGGGAAGGACCUCUCCGAGCCGUUCGAUACCAGACGAGGUUUCAGACAAGGUGACUCACUAUCGUGCGACUUCUUUAACUUGAUGCUUGAAAAAUUAUAAGAGCUGUAGAGCUAAAUAGAGAUGGUACAAUCUUCUACAAGAGUGUACAGCUACUGGCGUACGCCGAUGAUAUCGAUAUCAUUGGAAACAACACCCGCGCCGUUAGUUCUGCUUUUUCCAGACUGGAUAAGGAAGCGAAGCGCAUGGGUCUGGUGGUGAACGAGGACAAGACGAAAUAUCUCCUGUCAUCAAACAAACAGUCACGGCAUUCGCGUCUUGGCUCCCACGUCACUGUUGACAGUCAUAACUUUGAAGUUGUAGAUAAUUUCGUCUACCUGGGAACCAGCAUUAACAGCAAUAACAAUGUCAGCCUGGAAAUCCAACGCAGGAUCACUCUUGCCAACAGGUGCUACUAUGGACUAAGUAGGCAAUUGAAAAGUAAAGUCCUCUCUCGACGAACAAAAACCAAACUCAACAAGUCCCUCAUCAUUCCCGUCCUACUUUACGGUGCAGAAGCGUGGAGGAUGUCAACAUCCGAUGGACGGCACUAGGAGUUUUCGAGAGAAAGGUUUUGCGGAAGAUUUAUGGUCCCUUAAGAACUGGCAACGGCGAAUACCGCAGACGAUGGAACGAUGAGCUGUAUGUGUUAUUCGACGACAUAGACAUAGUCCAGCGAAUAAAAAAACAGCGGCUACGCUGGCUAGGUCAUGUUGUUCGAAUGGAUGAAAGUGCUCCAGCUCUGAAAGUAUUCGAAAGACCCGCUGGUGGAAGUCGAGGAAGAGGGAGACCUCCACUCCGAUGGAAGGACCAGGUGGAGAGGGACCUGGCUUCGCUUGGUAUAACCAAUUGGCGCCAAACUGCCAGAAGGAGGGAUACGUGGCGCGCUGUUUUGGACUCGGCUAUAACCGCGUAAGCGGUGUCUACGCCAGUCAAGAAGAAGAUAAUAGUUUUUUUGAUGCUAAAGAUUGAGUCUGAUGGAUCAAAUGUUCUCGAAUGAGAAUUAAAAUCAAGACAUAUUCGGCGAAAUGGUUCGUUUAAAUCUAAAUUUGUUCUAGAAGAUUUUAGAAGUAGGGUCUAAACUGCCUAGAUGAACGCAAUGGGAUAUUAAAGUUAAUAUCAGACAAAAGGAAUUAACUACAAACUAAACCAUUCAGAAGUUUUACUAGGAAUAUAAUACCUAGGGAUAUUAAAGUUAAUAUCAGACAAAAGGAAUGAACUACAAACUAAAGUUCAGAAGUUUUACUAGGAAUAUAAUACCUAGGAUUUCUCUGCGACUAGUAAGUGUAGGUAGAUUUAUAAGUUUUAAACGACUAGUAUACCGAGGAAGAUUCAAUCUUGAAUCCCAAUGUAAAUGACCUAAAUUAAAAAUUGUUUUUGAACGGACUAAAGCUUAUCAGAAUGUGUAUGGUAACUAGAAUUCCAUACAACAGAACAAUACACCAAUGUAGGCAAUGUUGUAAAAAGAAUUUUAGUAAUAUACGGAUCACUAAAUUCUUUAGACCAACGUUUAACAAAGCUAAAAGCACCUUUAGCUUUUAAAACUAUUGAAUUUACAUGAGAAUUAAAAUUUGGUUUAGGAUUCAUAGUAAUUUCUAAAUCAACAAACUUAAAAAAUUGCUCUAAACUGAAAUUAUUUAUUACAUAUGGAGAAUGGUUAACAGAUCUACGAGAAAAGCACAUCGUUAUACAUUUUUUAAGAUUCAGUGGCAUAUAGUUUUUGUGACUGACAUAAUAGGAGCAAAACGCUUUAAAAUUAGCAUUAUACUUUUCACCAUAUUUGAUCUUUGCACCCUUCCGAAUUGCGUCUUACCUCGUUAAACUUCGGAAUAUUUUUCUAUCAAUCCAAUUAGUUUUUCAAGUUGAAGUUAAAGGUGGUGGUUUGGUUCCAUACUGGGAGGGAGCCAAGGAAGGUGUUAAUAGCUCCACAACUAAUUGCGUUUAUAGCGUGUCUGUCCGCGUCCGCAGUCUGGUCGGCGUAUUGUGCUAGAUCGUCGACAUAUUAUAGGAGUGACCUCUUGAUGCACCUGGAGGCGGUUUUGCUUCCAGUAAGUGACUACAUGAGUGAUUUCUGCGAAAACAUCCUUAUAGAAACUGCUUGGUGAACAGUUCAUUAUGCUCCUUAAUAGGAAAUAUAGUGGCCUCAUUAUGCAAAUAUGCUACAGGAUAUUAAGAGGCAUCUUGUGGCUGUCCGAAGUGCGGUGCUUUGACACGUCUGCACUUUGCUCUACUGCGUGACGCUGCAUCCAGGCGAUCAUACCGGUGCUGCGUAAUUUACGACCGGCCGGCGGAUAGCCAUGUAGGUGGCCCGCAACGUUUCUUUGCCUUUUCCCCAAGCGCUCCCGGCUAGCGACUUGAGCAUCUUGUUGCGGCUCUGUACUUUAGUUGUUAUCGUGGUCGUGUGAGGAGUGUAUACUGUCAAAGGUAACAUCUGCGUAGGAGGUAACUGAAAAUCCCUCUGGUGGUUGAGGGUGUUUGGAGAUGUAGAAAUUAAACAGUAGCGGGUAGAGGACACCGGAUCGCUCAGGUAGUUCAUGAUCCAUCUCUCAGUCCCGGAAAAAGUGUUGUUCGUUCUAUGUCUUCUAGUAGCAUUGUUACAUUGAUCAUGUCAAAAGCUUUUGACAGGUCCAACGCCACCAGGACAGUUCUCUUACAGGAAGGUUUUUGAUUAAGGCCAUGAACUAUAUAAGUCUUGUGGUGGUGCUGUUCACUUUACGGAAACCGUGUUGAUGUUCCACUAGGUUCAGCUGAUACGUGAGUGUCGGGAGUUGUAAGGUCUCAAGUGUCUUCACUACUGGGGAAAGGAGAGUUAUCGGGCGAUAAGACUCCCCUUGGUUGGCGGGUUUCCCAGGUUUCAGUAAUGAGACCACUCUUCCGAUUUUCCACAUUUUGGGUAUUUUGAGAGUGGUUAGCGACAGAUUGAGUACCUUGAUGAGAAAUUCUAUUCCCGUUGGAUCAACAUCAAAUAAUUAAUUCCGUCUGGGCCAAUGGAUUUGGAGAUCUUCCCGAUGACAUCCCGAACCUCCCCGCUGGUGAAAGCAAGUGACGCGCAGUUGUUUGGCAGCCGUCUGGUGACACGUUUUUUUGCCUUGUCAACCGGAGGGUGCAGUAUGAAUUGCCGCCGCCGUUCGUCCGCUUAUGAUUGUUUACCAGUUGUCGAAUUUCCAAAUUGAGAUCCUUAAGGAGAUGUCAAUGAUACAAUGGCAAACUUGUAAAAUUGAGCUUCCGCAUCCACUCCAAAACUGUUUCAGUCUGAAAAAAACACGUCCGCCUAGAAAUUAAUUUAGGAACCCUAAGAAAAUAAAUUCAGACUUUAUUAAAGGAGGCUCUGACUAGAUUUUCUGUGUGCGCUCUGGUGAACGCUUUGUUCACUAUUGACGCGGUGGAAGAGUGUAUCGAAGUCUUAAGCACUGCAUCCAAACCAGCAUUGUAAAGGCAGGAGAAAACCCUCUGGUGGACCUCAGAAAUUAGGGCAUCUUGCAGGGUUUUAUUAACUAAGACAUGCAGGUGCGAGGCAGUUGAAGAUUGGACAUUAUAAAAGAAAGAGGUUUUCAUGAAAAGUUUUUUGUGAAAUCGUAAAGGACUGUAAUGAAUCCUCAUGGUUCCGCCAUCUUCGCAAGCAACAGCUUCCCAGUUGGUUAUCUUAAAAGUGAUUAUGAAAAUUUGCCUUUGAGCAGUGAAGAUACAUACAUAUGUACAUACGGUUGAGAUCAUUAGUAAUACUCACUUUUUAAGAAAUCUAUCAACUGGAAAAAUACUGAUACUUUCUGAAUAAACGUCGGCUAACAUGGACCUUGAACUAAUGUAAGCACUUCAAGUCCCUAGGACCGUAUAGACGCUUCUACAACAGGCCGUCAAGGUGUCGCAUAGCAGGAUGGUAUUGUAAAUGCGAACUGCAUUAGAUUGGGAUAUAUUAUGGAUGUAGGGUAGAGUUGCGUUCUUCUCGAAGGACGGUAAGAGCCCAUCAGUCGCUCCUCCUUCCUGAUAAAAGCACUUGUUGUUUCAAAAUCACGAAGGCCACACUCCCAUAGAUGCUAAGCUUCUUGUUCCAACUUGCUGAUAUGGUGAGUUAUCAAUGGCUUAUCAGAAUUUGUUGAGCUCUAAGGACCACAUCAACCAUGGCACUUAAUGACAUUCUGCAUAUACCCAGCACCCGCCGAUAUAGCUGAAAGGUGUAAGGUUGCCAUAGAUUCUCAGAGAAACUAGAUAUUUCAAUGAUUGUGUCGUCGAACUGGAGCCUGAAGGACUUUCCUCUACCAUACAUCACGAAAAAUUUCCAACACCUUUCUUGCCAAAAAUGGAACGCAAGAGAUCGAGUAAGCUAGCUAUUCGUCCUCAGUAAGGUUAGCGUUUCUCUGUAAAGUAAAAAAUCUUACCAGAUGCCAGUUUUAGAAGCUGCCUUUGCCAGAUCAAGUUCUUCGGGUAAUCAAAAAAUCUAUCGGAUCUAUUCCCGCUAACGCCUAAUCAGGCGUUGAUAUAUUUAAUCUAAUUAUCGUAGUUUUAGCUUCAUAUGCGCCUGGAUAUAAUAGUUCAAGAGCGAUCUCCAUUUGGAUCAGCCAUAGACUUAAGGGGGGGUAUGGGAUAAAAUUUUUUAAAAAAUCAUUUUUUUUAUUUGUUAAAUCGAAUGUACAACUAUUGAAGAAUGUUGUCUCAAAAUUUCAGCUCAUUCGGAGAAAGAUGGAAGUCACCACCGGCCCAAGUGCUCACGAAUAUGUGAAAAGAUUUGACGAAUCCCAAAACUUUGAACGCGUUUUUCUCGAAACGCCUUUUCUGAAGUCGGUGUCCACGAUAACUCAAAAAAUGAUUCUACGAUCUUAUAUCCGGGACACCGCAAUGUGCGGAAUUCCGUUGAGUGCCUACUUCAAGUGGCUGCAACUUCGUUGAUUUUCGACAUUUUGUAAAACUGAUUUUUUGUAAAACAUAUUUGAAAUGUCACUGAAUAAUAUGAUAAUAAAACUAUUCAAAAAUA